ACGUACAAAAAAUAAACCGGCCUGCUUCUGAAAGAAAGGCGCGGAAAUAACGUAACUGAAGAAUUUUCCUUGUAAAUGCGAUUAAAUUAUUAAAAGCUUGCCACUGCACCGGCAAAGCGGCAACUGAGUAAUUUCAAGUUCUGAGGCUGUACUAUUCUCUCUCUUAGGGUUCCAUUAUCUCUUCUCUCCACUCGCAUGCUUUCGGAGCUUCUUCAAUGGCGUCUUCUCAGAUAGGAAUUCUGGUUCCGUUGAACAAGAACCUGGAGAAGGAGAAAUCGUUGCCGGAAUUUCCGAUUUCUGAAGGUGAUAAUGUGAUAGGGCGUAAUAAUGUUCCGGUGACUGAUAAAAGACUCAGUCGCAAGCACCUCAUUUUGUCCGCUUCAUCUGGUGGCUCUACUGAUUUGCGUGUGGAAGGAAUGAAUCCUGUGGUGAUUAAUUCUGGUGAUCAGAGGAAGUUACUGAAUUCUGGGGAAAAAGUUACAUUUAGAAAUGGUGAUAUCUUGGAGUUGAUUCCAGGGAGUCACUAUUUCAAGUAUGAAAUUUUAAGUAAUCAGAGAAACCCCGGCGCUGUUAGCAAAAGGAGUGAAGAUGUUAGUGAAUGUACAAAUGUUGGAGAUGGCAGGAAGAGAGCACGAGAAGACUUGAAUGCUGGAGCUUCUACAGAACAGUCAACGCUUCCGCAUGGAAUUGGGAGAAAAUUAAAAGAAAAUAUAGAUAAUGUAAGUGUUGAAUCAAAAAAACAAAAUCUUUCAGUCUCUGGGAAUAGCGAGGAGGCGAUACGUCAUUUCCAUGUAUCCGAUGAUGUAUUGCCUUUAACCUUUCGUCUUAUGAAAGUACAAGGGUUACCAGAAUGGGCGAACACCUCUUGUGUAUCUAUUGACAAUGUGAUUGAGGGGGAUGUGCUUGUUGCUGUACUUUCAAAUUACAUGGUGGACAUAGACUGGUUGUUAUCUGCAUGCCCAAUGCUUAAAAAAGUUCCUCAGGUGCUAGUUGUUCAUGGAGAAAGUGACGGUACCGCUGAUUACAUGAAGAGGAACAAACCCAGCAAUUGGAUUUUACACAAACCCCCAUUACCCAUCGCGUACGGGACACACCAUUCGAAGGCUAUGCUUCUUGUGUAUCCUCGAGGAGUGAGGGUCAUUGUGCAUACAGCAAACUUGAUUAAUGUCGAUUGGAAUAAUAAAAGUCAAGGCUUGUGGAUGCAAGAUUUCCCUUGGAAAGAUCAGAAUGAGGCAAGCAAGGGGUGUCCAUUUGAAAGUGAUCUUAUUGAUUAUCUACAAGCUCUAAAGUUGCCUGAAUUUACUGCCAAUUUUCCAGCCCUUGGCAGACUGAAAAUUGAUGCUUCCUUCUUUAAGAAGUUCAAUUAUGGAAAUGCCGCGGUCAGAUUAAUUGCAUCUGUUCCAGGAUAUCAUUCUGGGUCUAAUUUAAAGAAGUGGGGUCACAUGAAGCUACGCUCUAUCCUAGAGCAAUGUACUUUCGAUGAUGAGUUUAAGAAAUCGCCACUAAUUUAUCAGUUUUCCUCUCUUGGUUCACUGGAUGAGAAGUGGAUGACUGAACUAAGAACUUCAUUGUCAUCUGGCUUGUCAGCUGAUAAAUCCGCCCUAGGUUUGGGCGAACCACGGAUCAUAUGGCCUACCGUGGAAGAUGUGAGAUGGUCACUGGAGGGUUAUGCAGCUGGAAAUGCUGUCCCAAGUCCAAUUAAAAAUGUGGAGAAGGAAUUUCUGAAGAAAUACUGGGCAAAGUGGAAGGCUACUCACACGGGUCGCUGCCGUGCAAUGCCCCAUAUAAAGACAUUUGUUCGUUAUAAUGGUCAAAAUAUCGCUUGGUUCUUGCUAACUUCAUCAAACCUCAGCAAAGCUGCUUGGGGAGCCCUUCAAAAGAAUAACUCUCAAUUGAUGAUACGUUCCUAUGAGCUUGGCGUGCUGUUUUUGCCUACUGUUGUCAAAAAUGGUUUUGGAUUUUCUUGCACGAAGGAUAAGAGCUCUUGUAAGGAUACAAGUGGAUCAAUGGCAAAUUCUAGAAAUCGGAAGAUUAAACUAGUUUCACUGACUUGGCCAGGAAGAGAUGAUCAUGAUGAUUCUAACUCUGAAGUAGUUCCUCUUCCUGUGCCUUACGAACUUCCUCCAAAGUUGUACUCUUCUCAGGAUGUUCCGUGGUCGUGGGAACGUCAAUACAGACAAAAGGAUGUGUAUGGUCAAGUUUGGCCCAGGCAGGUGUAGCUUUAUUCCACUCAAGACACCAAAAGUGGCAUCAAACUGCAUCUACCCGUGCUCUGACAUUGUGAAACUACAGAAUUCUUCCGAAAGAAAUAAGAUGAAGGACCCUACGCCCCUACCGGUCUGGAAUUCCUCUUGGGUUAACCCGGCCCGAGGUACUUACUUUGGGAGGAGGAGGGAAGGAUAAGGGGAAACUCUCCUCCAAAGUUAAAUCUUUUGAAGUGUACAAGGGUCAAAAUUUAAUUAACUUGACCCGGGUCGCAUAUGUGACCUAAGGUCAAGUGCAUUAAAAUUGGAGGUGGGACCGACUUCUGCUCCACUUGCGAUUACAUCGGCUGUUUGCAUGCAAAUAUUUGAUGUAAUUUGUACCGUGAUUAUAUACUGUAUGCAUGUAACAAAUAUUUCAAGUUGUUGAGCUCAUGUGAACCUGCCACGAAUGCAAGCAUGUAAUUAAUUUUUUUAUUUUUUUUUUGUUUUUCAUUUUGCAUGAUAACAAUCCAGUUAUGUAUAAAUUUUACUUCAUUGUGUUAUAUAUGUAUGUUUAAGAUUA